rnacentral:rRNA from 1 species
AACGAACGCUGGCGGCAGGCUUAACACAUGCAAGUCGAGCGCGUAGCAAUACGAGCGGCAGACGGGUGAGUAACGCGUGGGAAUCUACCCAUCACUACGGAACAACUCCGGGAAACUGGAGCUAAUACCGUAUACGUCCUUCGGGAGAAAGAUUUAUCGGUGAUGGAUGAGCCCGCGUUGGAUUAGCUAGUUGGUGGGGUAAUGGCCUACCAAGGCGACGAUCCAUAGCUGGUCUGAGAGGAUGAUCAGCCACAUUGGGACUGGGACACGGCCCAAACUCCUACGGGAGGCAGCAGUGGGGAAUAUUGGACAAUGGGCGCAAGCCUGAUCCAGCCAUGCCGCGUGAGUGAUGAAGGCCCUAGGGUUGUAAAGCUCUUUCACCGGUGAAGAUAAUGACGGUAACCGGAGAAGAAGCCCCGGCUAACUUCGUGCCAGCAGCCGCCGUAAGAC